rnacentral:rRNA from 1 species
GACGAACGCUGGCGGCGUGCUUAACGCAUGCAAGUCGAACGGAAAGGCCCUGCUGUUGUGGGGUGCUCGAGUGGCGAACGGGUGAGUAACACGUGAGUAACCUGCCCUUGACUUUGGGAUAACUUCAGGAAACUGGGGCUAAUACCGGAUAGGAGCUCCUGCUGCAUGGUGGGGGUUGGAAAGUUUCGGCGGUUGGGGAUGGACUCGCGGCUUAUCAGCUUGUUGGUGGGGUAGUGGCUUACCAAGGCUUUGACGGGUAGCCGGCCUGAGAGGGUGACCGGCGACAUUGGGACUGAGAUACGGACCAGACGCCUACGGGAGGCAGCAGUGGGGAAUAUUGCAGAAUGGGCGGAAGCCUGAUGCAGCAACGCCGCGUGCGGGAUGACGGCCUUCGGGUUGUAAACCGCUUUCGCCGGUGACGAAGCGUGAGUGACGGUAAUGGGUAAAGAAGCACCGGCUAACUACGUG